rnacentral:rRNA from 1 species
UACAGGGGUGGCUAGCGUUGUUCGGAUUUACUGGGCGUAAAGGGUGCGUAGGCGGCUUCGUUAGUCGAAUGUGAAAGACCGUCGCUCAACGACGGAAGUGCAUUGGAAACUGCGAGGCUUGAGUGCAGGAGGGGAGAGCGGAAUUCCUGGUGUAGCGGUGAAAUGCGUUGAGAUCAGGAAGAACGCCGGUGGCGAAGGCGGCUCUCUGGAAUGUAACUGACGCUGAGGCACGAAAGCCAGGGGAGCAAACAGG